rnacentral:rRNA from 1 species
CAGCUCUCCGAGUUGUAAGGAUGAUUAUUGGGCUUAAAGCGUCCGUAGCCUGCUUAGCAAGUCUCCUGUUAAAUUCAGCGACCUAAUCGUUGAGCCGCGGGAGAUACUACUAGGCUAGGAGGCGGGAGAGGUCGACGGUAUUUCUGGGGUAGGGGUGAAAUCCUAUAAUCCCAGGAAGACCACCAGUGGCGAAGGCUGUCGACUAGAACGCGCUCGACGGUGAGGGACGAAAGCUGGGGGAGCGAACCGGAUUAGAUACCCGAGUAGUCC